UUAUAAACUAAAAUAUCAUCAAAUGUAAUUAAUUAACUUUAAACAUUUUGUAUGAAAUUUUUUUUUUAUCGGCAUGGAAUUGAGAAUUAUACAAAAAGUACAAUUUUAGCUGGAGUUCUACGUGAUGAUUAGAAAAAAAUCUUUAAAUUGUAGCACAAAAGUGAUCAGCUGUGUGAUAAUUACAGUAUCACAUAUUAUUAUUAUUCAAUGUGACUUGUCCUUGAAAUAUUCUUUAUUAAUAUUUUAAUUUUUCGUCGAGUAUGUAUUACAUAGUUUUUGUUUUUUGUAUCAAUUGUAACAAUUCUUAUUAAAUUACACUUAUAUGUUUUUAAUAUUUUAUUUUUGUUUGAAAUUUGAAAAAGCCUUAUUAGAUUUAUAUUAAAUGAGAUGUCUGUAUUAUUAUAAUUUUAUUAAGGAUUACUCGAACUUUUUAAGCCAAAUAUAUUUACUCAUUCUCUUCAGAAAAGAAUUCUUCUGUUACGAAUGUCAACUAGAAUGUCGUAGUACUCCAAAAAAUCUGCACCGAUGAUUAGUUCGUCAGUGUCAGCAAUCGUAAAGUUCCAAUAAAAAACUCUACCUAAUCCAAAAUCCAAUUUCAUUUUAGUGGUUCCGUAUGUUCCAAUUACACUUCUAUUUGCUGCUUGUAAAUUAUUGUUACGAUUACGCUUUGGUAUUAUACGUCGAGGAAUGAGAUAACGAGGAUAAAUACUACGACAAGCACCAGUAUCAAUUAAAAAUUCCAUGCCCGAAGCUCUUACAAACAGACAAGCGUUUCGAUUAACAUUAAGUAUAGGAUUUAAUUGUAACAUAUCUACUGAAAACGCGAUUUCAAAAAGAGCAAUUCGGAAUUUUCAUUUUGAACUUUUUUACUACAAUACAAUGCGCAAGCAUUGUAUUUUCUCAUAACAUAAUUUUUCAUUUAUGUGGAAAAAAUGCUAUAUAGUACCUGUUACUAUGUGGGGUACCUAUAUUAGUUAAGCGUGAUGGAAGUAACCGUGGCGAACUCUAUUGGAUAUUAAAGUAAUUAUGGUUGGGUAAGACAGAAAUCAACCAUUCUCACUAGAUAACACGCAAGUAUGCAAUCUACAUUAAUUAAUACGUUUGAAUAUAUUGUAGAAUUCAUACUAAACAAUUGAGAUUGCUUGUUACAAUUAAUUAUUAUUAAUGAAUAAUUUAUAUUUUUAUGUUUUAGGACAUCGUAAUGAAUGAUUUCAUAAUGAAUCCUAAUCAAUAACGUAAGAUAAGUUCACCACUUACUCUUGCUAAUAUUGAAGAUAUUCCUGUAAGUAUUAAAAAAAAGUCAUCAGGCAGCGGAAAUGGAAGUAGAUUUCUUCCCCGUAUACAAAACAGUAAUGAAAAUUCUAAAAAUC